AUUGAACGCUGGCGGCAGGCCUAACACAUGCAAGUCGAGCGCGCGGCGGACGGGUGAGUAAUGUCUGGGAAAAUGCCCGAUGGAGGGGGAUAAAUACUGGAAACGGUAGCGAAAACCGCAUAUCACCAGAGGUGCCCAGAGGUGAUUAGCUAGAAGGUGGGGUAACGGCGCACCUAGGAGCAGAGCCCUAGCUGGUCUGAGAGGACGACCAGCCACACUGGAACUGAGACACGGUCCAGACUCCUACGGGAGGCAGCAGUGGGGAAUAUUGCACCAUGGGCGCAAGCCUGAUGCAGCCAUGCCGCGUGUGUGAAGAAGGCCUUCGGGUUGUAAAGCACUUUCAGCGGGGAGGCGUUACCCGCAGAAGAAGCACCGGCUAACUCCGUGCCAGCAGCCGCGGUAAUUC
rnacentral:rRNA from 1 species